GACGAACGCUGGCGGCGUGCUUAACACAUGCAAGUCGAACGGAAAGGCCCUGCUUGCAGGGUACUCGAGUGGCGAACGGGUGAGUAACACGUGGGUGAUCUGCCCUGCACUUCGGGAUAAGCCUGGGAAACUGGGUCUAAUACCGGAUAGGAGCCAUUUUUAGUGUGAUGGUUGGAAAGUUUUUUCGGUGUAGGAUGAGCUCGCGGCCUAUCAGCUUGUUGGUGGGGUAAUGGCCUACCAAGGCGGCGACGGGUAGCCGGCCUGAGAGGGUGGACGGCCACAUUGGGACUGAGAUACGGCCCAGACUCCGACGGGAGGCAGAAGUGGGGAAUAUUGCACAAUGGGCGCAAGCCGGAUGCAGCGACGCCGCGUGGGGGAUGACGGCCUUCGGGUUGUAAACUCCGUUCGCUAGGGACGAAGCUUUUUGUGACGGUACCUAGAUAAGAAGCACCGGCUAACUACGUG
rnacentral:rRNA from 1 species